AACGAACGCUGGCGGCAGGCUUUACACAUGCAAGUCGAGCGCCCCGCAAGGGGAUCGGCAGACGGGUGAGUAACGCGUGGGAAUCUACCCAUCUCUACGGAAUAACGCAUGGAAACGUGUGCUAAUACCGGAUACGUCCUGCGGGUGAAUGAUGUAUCGUAGAUGGAUGAGCCCGCGUUGGAUUAGCUAGUUGGUGGGGUAAAGUCCUACCAAGGCGACGAUCCAUAGCUUGUCUGAGAGGAUGAUCAGCCACACUGGGACUGAGACACGGCCCAGAAUCCUACGGGAGGCAGCAGUGGGGAAUAUUGGACAAUGGGCGCGAGCCAGAUCCAGCCAUGCCGCGUGAGUGAUGAAGGCCCUAGGGUUGUAAAGCUCUUUCACCGGUGAAGAUAAUGACGGUAACCGGAGAAGAAGCCCCGGCUAACUUCGUGCCAGCAGCCGCUGUAAUAC
rnacentral:rRNA from 1 species